rnacentral:rRNA from 1 species
CCUACGGGCGGCAGCAGUGGGGAAUAUUGGGCAAUGGGGGCAACCCUGAUCCAGCCAUGCCGCGUGUGUGAAGAAGGCCCUCGGGUUGUAAAGCACUUUCAGUGAGGAAGAACGCCUGGUGGUUAAUACCCAUCAGGAAAGACAUCACUCACAGAAGAAGCACCGGCUAACUCCGUGCCAGCAGCCGCGGUAAUACGGAGGGUGCGAGCGUUAAUCGGAAUUACUGGGCGUAAAGCGCGCGUAGGUGGCUUGAUAAGCCGGUUGUGAAAGCCCCGGGCUCAACCUGGGAACGGCAUCCGGAACUGUCAAGCUAGAGUGCAGGAGAGGAAGGUAGAAUUCCCGGUGUAGCGGUGAAAUGCGUAGAGAUCGGGAGGAAUACCAGUGGCGAAGGCGGCCUUCUGGACUGACACUGACACUGAGGUGCGAAAGCGUGGGUAGCAAACAGGAUUAGAUACCCUAGUAGUC